GCCGGAGUGGCGAAACGGUAGACGCGCUACGUUCAGAUCGUAGUGUCCGCAAGGGCAUGGAGGUUCAACUCCUCUCUCCGGCA
rnacentral:tRNA from 1 species